AACGAACGCUGGCGGCGUGGAUUAGGCAUGCAAGUCGAACGCGAAAGAGGGGGUAACUCCUCGAGUAGAGUGGCGAACGGGUGAGUAACACGUGAGAAACCUGCCUUCAGCAGGGGGAUAACACUCCCAACGGGGUGCUAAUACCGCAUGAGACCACGGAUUCGCAUGGAUCUGGGGUCAAAGGUGGCCUCUGCUUGCAAGCUACCGGCUGAAGAUGGUCUCGCGCCCAUUAGCUAGUUGGUGGGGUAAUGGCCCACCAAGGCGACGAUGGGUAGCUGGUCUGAGAGGAUGGUCAGCCACACUGGGACUGAGAUACGGCCCAGACUCCUACGGGAGGCAGCAGUCGAGAGGCUUUGGCAA
rnacentral:rRNA from 1 species